UACGAAGGGGACUAGCGUUGCUCGGAAUCACUGGGCGUAAAGCGCACGUAGGCGGAUCUUUAAGUCAGGGGUGAAAUCCCAAGGCUCAACCUUGGAACUGCCUUUGAUACUGGGGAUCUCGAGUCCGGAAGAGGUUGGUGGAACUGCGAGUGUAGAGGUGAAAUUCGUAGAUAUUCGCAAGAACACCAGUGGCGAAGGCGGCCCCCUGGUUGGAUACUGACGCUGAUACGCGAAAGCGUGGGGAGCAAACAGG
rnacentral:rRNA from 1 species